ensembl:lncRNA
AAAAAGAGUCUCAGAGACAUAUGAAUGUGAAAGUCUGCACAUUUCAGUUUUAGUCUGCGCAUCUCACAAUUUUAACAACACAGACAAUGAGCAAGGAAUGGAUAGCAUGCUUUAAAAAAGAGCUGAAGAAGAGUCCUUUUUAUUCAAAUGCAAUUAUUGGCUUUUUAAUGGUGGGACUUGAGAAACUUGUAGAGAUGGACUUUGCAUGUCCUUGUGAUCCAAAGAUGAACAUGGUGUUUUCUGCAGCUUAUUUUUAAAUUCCUGCUCUGUUCUCCAGCGCACUCAUGUUUUUUAUUCAAAGCCCACAGUGCAAAACAAAGUGUCUGCUCUCCACAGUAACCUGCAUCGUUCCAGCUGUUGUUUGGAUCAUGCUGCUGUUCUUUGAUGGACAGUAUUUUGCCUGUGCAAAAACCUCCUGGGAAGGACUGACGGUCCACACGGAUAUAUCUGCUUCAACAACAUGGUGUCAGCCUUUGAUCAGUUCUGAAAACAUCCCUGAAAAGCAAAUGGCAUUUUUUGGCUUUCGAAAUACUUCGCAGAUAGUGGCACUGGUCAUGCUGUGUCUGAGCUCUCUGCCCCUAUUUAUAAUUGGAUGUAGAAGGUGUAGCCACCAAGCAUCAGGAAGCAAAGAACCUGAAGCUGAACAAGUGGAAAUUGAGAAUCCUGCUCAAAGUUCAUCAACCCCUCGUGAAAGAUCUUCAUUAAUGGAGGAUGAAUACAGAGAUGCGUCUGAAUAUCUCUAAAUACAGAAGCUGAACAGAGCUCUUGUAAAGCACCACUUAAUGUUCAGAAACCUCAUCUUUAAAAUGUUACAAAAAAAAGGAGGGAAACAACAUUUGUAGCAUAUUCUAACCCAGCUGUACGACAAAGUCCUUUUGUUUCUGAUACGUCUUGACGUCACUGACAGUAUGAAACCACAUCCUAUCAAUCAGUGCACUCUGUUAAGUAUGGAAUAUGCUCACGUUUGCUGACAGUUUUUUUUUUUUUAUGUGGUUUUUGUUUUUUUACACUUUUGGCUUGGUAUAUCCUACUUCGAAGUUUGUAGAAUAAAAAAAAUACACUUUGCAACUGAUUACUGUCAAUUGUUGCUAUGCUUUAAUGUAUGUGAGGAGGUUAUCGGGAGAAAAUGAAGCAAGUGUACUGAUUUUACCUCCAGAUGGACAUAAUAAACGUUUACUUAAGGCAGGAGGCUGCUCUUCAGGCAAAAGCACCCACACAAUAAGACGUAGGGCCCUAUUUGAACGAUCUAAGCGCACGGCGCCGGUGCACUCAGGGUGUGAUAAUCCACUUUUGCUAGUUUAAUGACGGGAAAACGCGCGCAUGCAUGGUCUUAACGGGUUGUCCCUAUUCCCUUAAUGAGUUAUAGGUAUUUUUUGGGCGUAACGUGCAAUAAACCAAUCAAAGUUUCAUCUCCAAUUGCCUUUAAGAAGCAGUUGCGCUCGUGUCAAGACGGUUUUGCUAUUUACACGGCGGAAUUGGCAAGCGCAAAAACACAACGCGUCUCCAGAGAUGAAACAGAGCUGCGCGUGCCUCUGUGUAAUAAGCAAAGUGAAUGCGGCGUUGUGGACCCACCCAGAGGCGCGUUUUAAUUAAAAAGAAAGAAAAAUUGGACUUGAUAAAUCCAAAAUCCACUAUAUUCGCAUUGCUUUAUUAAAUGUAAGUACACUGUGUUCCCUGUGUUCCCCCAGACACACCUACAGCAGAACAUAAUGACAAUACUGC